UGGGGAAUAUUGCACAAUGGAGGGAACUCUGAUGCAGCGACGCCGCGUGAACGAAGAAGGCUUUCGAGUCGUAAAGUUCUUUUAUAUGGGAAGAUAAUGACGGUACCAUAAGAAAAAGCCCCGGCUAACUACGUGCCAGCAGCCGCGGUAAUACGUAGGGGGCUAGCGUUGUCCGGAAUCACUGGGAGUAAAGGGUUCGCAGGCGGAAAUGCAAGUCAGGUGUAAAAGGCAGUAGCUUAACUACUGUAAGCAUUUGAAACUGCAUAUCUUGAGAAGAGUAGAGGUAAGUGGAAUUUUUAGUGUAGCGGUGAAAUGCGUAGAUAUUAAAAAGAAUACCGGUGGCGAAGGCGACUUACUGGGCUCAUUCUGACGCUGAGGAACGAAAGCGUGGGUAGCAAACAGG
rnacentral:rRNA from 2 species